UUAAAUUGAAGAGUUUGAUCAUGGCUCAGAUUGAACGCUGGCGGCAGGCCUAACACAUGCAAGUCGAGCGGAAACGAGUUGUCUGAACCUUCGGGGAACGAUA
rnacentral:rRNA from 1 species